GACGAACGCUGGCGGCGUGCUUAACACAUGCAAGUCGAACGGUGAAGCGAGUGCUUGCACUCGUGGAUCAGUGGCGAACGGGUGAGUAACACGUGAGUAACCUGCCCAUCACUCUGGGAUAAGCACUGGAAACGGUGUCUAAUACUGGAUACGACCAACCCUUGCAUGGGGUGUUGGUGGAAAGAUUUAUCGGUGAUGGAUGGACUCGCGGCCUAUCAGCUUGUUGGCGGGGUAAUGGCCCACCAAGGCGACGACGGGUAGCCGGCCUGAGAGGGUGACCGGCCACACUGGGACUGAGACACGGCCCAGACUCCUACGGGAGGCAGCAGUGGGGAAUAUUGCACAAUGGGCGAAAGCCUGAUGCAGCGACGCCGCGUGAGGGAUGACGGCCUUCGGGUUGUAUACCUCUUUCAGCAGGGAAGAAGCGAAAGUGACGGUACCUGCAGAAGAAGCACCGGCUAACUACGUG
rnacentral:rRNA from 1 species